GGAGAGGUGUCCGAGCGGCUUAAGGUGCUGGUCUCGAAAACCAGUGUGGCGUUUUGCGUCACCGUGGGUUCGAAUCCCACCCUCUCCG
rnacentral:tRNA from 1 species